ACCCAAUCUUUCUAUGCGUGUUUUUUCUUUUAAAAUUGGAUAUCUAUUCAUAUGAGAUAUUUAUAUUUGAAUAUCCAUUAAACAUUUUUUUUAAUAACAUCAUAUUGGGCUUUUAUUAAUAAAACAAAAUUACAAAAACUGAACACUUAUAAUCCUAAGAAAACGGCCCAAAGCAGAUGGCCAAAGGUAAAAAAAUGUAGAUAUUUUUAAAGUAACUUCUAGAAUCAACAUUUAUUGCACCGAUUCCUUGCCCAAUCAGAAAUUGCUGAAAUAUGCCCUCUCUUCUUCCCAUCAUUUCAUUUUCAGUUUGACGAUUUCUUUCUUCAAAACUUUUUCUUCCGAAUCAUUCCAUUUUCUUUUUGUUUUGAAAUUUUCUUCCUUUCGUUCUUCCUCUCCUGGCGCUUUCUAGUCUGGUUCACACAGCCUAUCAUUUCUUCUUUGUUCUUCGGCGUACUCAGGGACCUCCAUUUCCAGGUCUACCUCCUCUUUUCUUCUUAGGGUUUCUGUUGCAAGAAUAUGUGCUAGAAUAUUUGCGUGUCUUGGUCUGUGUUGGAAGCUGAUGUUCUUUAACUCACUUAAUUUCUGUUGAAUAUCGUGAAUAUAUGCCCCUAUCAGUGAUCGAUCUUGCCCUUCUGUAUUGCAUUUUUUAAUUACUGUAAGAGAAUCUCCUUCAAAGAUGACUGACUACCAUCCCUUAUCUGCUCUUAUAUGAACUGCUGCCCGGCAAGCUACUACUUUCGCAGCAAAUGCAGAGGUGAUGUCGUUGUGGAUCUUUGAAUAAGAUAACAGAACUCUGCCUUCAUCAUCUCUGGCCACAAUACUUGAGGCUGAGUAUUUCUGGCUUUCUUUGUAUGCUCCGUCGAAGUUUAUCUUUAUGAAAUCGCGAUUGCGCAGCAGAAUAAACAACUUUGCCAAGGGUUGAGCUGUUCUAACACCCAGGGCAUUCUCGAAAUAGGUGGUCCAUUGUUUCAGCUCUUUCACCACAUCUGGGCCAGUUUGUGUUUGCUGAUAAUUUCCUGUGCUGUAAAUUCACUUUUGUAGGCAAAAAGUUCCAUGAUAGUCUCCAUAUUGUAAUCUUUAUCUUUGUUGGUAAAUUCAGGCUCCAAAGUUUUUUGUAGAAUUUCCUGUAGUUGGUUUGUAAAGCAUAAGCUCUAGGAUUUUCAUCCGAAUUCUAUAAUAGUUUAUAGGCACUUCGGACCAUGAAUUCACCUGAUGAUUCUCCUCCCCAAAUAAGGAAAUCCUCAUGAAGAGUACGUGCCAGAGGGAUUCGAAGAAUUCUUGCAGCGUCUUCUUCUGUGAAGGUAUUGUUAAUCAGCUCCCUCUUCCAAAGCCUUUUAUUACUAUCAAUUAACUCAUUAACUUUAAGAUCACACAUUGAAGUAAUCGCUGUUGAUAGUCUGAAAUUUACUGCAUCUGGGAUCCAAGCAUCAUCAUUAACUGAAAUAGUAGUACCCGUGCCAACCCUCCAGCAUAAACCUUUUGCCAGUAAA